GGUCAGUAGGUUGGUCGUGCCACCGGUACGUACUGGUCUCACUGAUUCCUCCUUCCUGAAGAACCGUAAUGCCAUUAAUUUGGUGUUGCGGGGAAACAGGACUGUUACUUUGAAAAAAUUAGAGUGUUUAAAGCAAGCUAACGCUUGAAUACAUUAGCAUGGAAUAAUGAAACAGGACGAUCGAUCCUAUUUUGUUGGUUUCUAGGAUUGACGUA
rnacentral:rRNA from 1 species